CAAGACGACGACGGGUAGCCGGCCUGAGAGGGCGACCGGMCACACUGGGACUGAGACACGGCCCAGACUCCUACGGGAGGCAGCAGUGGGGAAUAUUGCACAAUGGGGGAAACCCUGAUGCAGCGACGCAGCGUGCGGGAUGACGGCCUUCGGGUUGUAAACCGCUUUCAGCAGGGAAGAAGCGCAAGUGACGGUACCUGCAGAAGAAGUACCGGCUAACUACGUGCCAGCAGCCGCGGUAAUACGUAGGGUACGAGCGUUGUCCGGAAUUAUUGGGCGUAAAGAGCUCGUAGGYGGUUGGUCACGUCUGCUGUGGAAACGCAASGCUUAACGUUGCGCGSUGCAGUGGGUACGGGCUGACUAGAGUGCAGUAGGGGAGUCUGGAAUUCCUGGUGUAGCGGUGAAAUGCGCAGAUAUCAGGAGGAACACCGGUGGCGAAGGCGGGACUCUGGGCUGUAACUGACACUGAGGAGCGAAAGCAUGGGGAGCGAACAGGAUUAGAUACCCUGGUAGUCCAUGCCGUAAACGUUGGGCACUAGGUGUGGGGGGCAUUCCACGUUCUCCGCGCCGUAGCUAACGCAUUAAGUGCCCCGCCUGGGGAGUACGG
rnacentral:rRNA from 1 species